UUAAUUUCAGCUUUACUGAUUUUUUUAGUUUCAGUUAGCAAUAAAAACACUGGCUCACUUGCAUCCCUUUUAAAAGAAGCAGAUCCCCUACCCUUUUAAUUUGUGUCCAACUUUUUUUGUGGACCAAACAUCAGAAGCUCUUUUAUUUUUUAAGGGCUGAUUUAAUGGAGAAGAACAAGGCUUUAUUUAUUUUUUAUUUUUUUUGUACCGGACAGUCUAUAAAAAGAGGCUGGCACACGGUGUGUGUGGCCGAGCGUGUGGUCCAUUUGCACAUUAAAAAGCACAUUCAUCACAGAGCGUCAGUGCUGCAAGUCGCCAGCCAGCUCUCUCAGGGUUUGGUGCAGGGCUGGGUGGAGCCAGGGCACUGGUGCAUGUCCUUGAGUGUGUGUUUGUGUGUGUGGUAUAGGACCCACCUGGUGCAGUAUUCGUGACACUCUCUCUCAUCCACUCUCUGGUUUGAGGAAUAGAGUUAGACACACACAUAAACACACACACACCUCUCGUCUUCAGGCGAGGAGGGUUUGCCACCACUCUUAGCCCAGGGCAGCCAUUUAAUACGACCUCUGUGUGUGUGUGUGUGACGGACGGACUGAGCUUGCGCUCGCAGCCAGAGACGUGCACCUUGUCCAGGACAGACGAGAACUCCGCGUGAGCUUGCGGAAGUGAGCUGCGCCCUGCCCGGGUUGAGAGAGGCUCAAGGAUGCGCCCUCUGUCUCACUCACUUGCGGACUCUCUCUUGCUUAACAGCAAGGGGGACACUUCCUCCUUUGCUCGGCGCACACUAACACCGUCCUGGGAGACUAACAUGCAACCCGUGAUUAACCUGGAAGAGAGUUAAUUUAGGAUGAGCGUCUUUUAAUGAAUUUCCACAUAUUGAAGGACGUUCCGUCCUGCUGGUUCUUGGCUUCACUGUUCCCAUCUGUCUUGUGGUCGUAGCUGUUUUCACC